UGUUGAGGGAGUCGGGCCGCGACUGUGGUCGUUUUUAUACCUUCCCGCGCGGACGCCGGCGCUGCCAACGGAAGGGCGGGUAGGGCGACGGAGUUUCGUCAUGUUGGCCAGGCCCAUUUGAGAUCUUUGAAGAUAUCCUCAACGUGAGGCUCUGCUGCCAUGAAGGUGAAGAUUAAGUGCUGGAACGGCGUGGCCACUUGGCUCUGGGUGGCCAACGAUGAGAACUGUGGCAUCUGCAGGAUGGCAUUUAACGGAUGCUGCCCUGACUGCAAGGUGCCCGGCGACGACUGCCCGCUGGUGUGGGGCCAGUGCUCCCACUGCUUCCACAUGCAUUGCAUCCUCAAGUGGCUGCACGCACAGCAGGUGCAGCAGCACUGCCCCAUGUGCCGCCAGGAAUGGAAGUUCAAGGAGUGAGGCCCGACCUGGCUCUCGCUGGAGGGGCAUCCUGAGACUCCUUCCUCAUGCUGGCGCCGAUGGCUGCUGGGGACAGCGCCCCUGAGCUGCAACAAGGUGGAAACAAGGGCUGGAGCUGCGUUUGUUUUGCCAUCACUAUGUUGACACUUUUAUCCAAUAAGUGAAAACUCAUUAAACUACUCAAAUCU
rnacentral:lncRNA from 1 species